rnacentral:rRNA from 1 species
UACGUAGGGUGCGAGCGUUGUCCGGAAUUACUGGGCGUAAAGAGCUCGUAGGUGGUUUGUCGCGUUGUUCGUGAAAUCUCACGGCUUAACUGUGAGCGUGCGGGCGAUACGGGCAGACUAGAGUACUGCAGGGGAGACUGGAAUUCCUGGUGUAGCGGUGGAAUGCGCAGAUAUCAGGAGGAACACCGGUGGCGAAGGCGGGUCUCUGGGCCGAUAUUGACGCUGAGGAGCGAAAGCGUGGGGAGCGAACAGG